rnacentral:sRNA from 1 species
UCAACGAAGACUCACCCCCACCUCUACGCC